UACAGAGGUCUCAAGCGUUGUUCGGAUUCAUUGGGCGUAAAGGGUGCGUAGGCGGCGCGGUAAGUCGGGUGUGAAAUCUCGGAGCUUAACUCCGAAACUGCAUUCGAUACUGGGCGGCUAGAGUCUGGUAGGGGGAUCUGGAAUUCCUGGUGUAGCGGUGGAAUGCGCAGAUAUCAGGAGGAACACCAAUGGCGAAGGCAGCUCGCUGGAACGGUACUGACGCUGAGGCGCGAAAGCGUGGGGAGCAAACAGG
rnacentral:rRNA from 1 species